rnacentral:rRNA from 1 species
UACGUAGGUGGCGAGCGUUGUCCGGAUUUACUGGGCGUAAAGAGCGCGCAGGCGGUCGUGCAAGUCGCGUGUGAAAGCCCCCGGCUCAACUGGGGAGGUCACGCGAUACUGCUCGACUCGAAGGCAGGAGAGGGAAGUGGAAUUCCCGGGUGUAGUGGUGAAAUGCGUAGAUAUCGGGGAGGAACACCAGUGGCGAAGGCGACUUCCUGGCCUGUUCUUGACGCUGAGGC